rnacentral:pre_miRNA from 8 species
GCGUAUAUACGUGCACACACGUACGUGUGUAUAUAUGUGCGCACACGUACGUGUGUAUAUAUGUGUAUGCA